GGUCAGCGUGGCGAUGUGGCUGUGUUAGUCCUCAUCUCCCCGAUCAUCCCGCCCAGCCUUCUUCGCUCGCAGCCACGUGUCCACACGUCUGUUCUAUUCAUCUCCAUCUCUACUCCGGCCCUGCAGUGAGGAUUCACCUCGACUCUGUGGGAACACUGCGUCAUUCCGUCUUGAGGGCCCGUUGUCACUUCUGACAUCCUUCAAGGGUCCCAGUUGAAAAGUCUAUGAUUCUAAAUCACUUGAAAUGAGAAAAGGAAGCUACCUUCCGGCAGCCAUGAUUGAAUGCUCAACGACGCGAACAAGAAAGUUUAUUCCGAGGUAUUUUAUUCUUCUUGAUGGACCG